rnacentral:lncRNA from 1 species
CUUAUUUCAGAAGUCUUUUUCUUCGCUGGGUUCUUCUGAGCAUUUUAUCAUUCUAGCUUAGCCCCUACUCCAGAAUUAGGAGGACAUUGACCCCCAACAGGCAUUACUCCUCUAAACCCCCUAGAAGUACCACUCCUGAACACAUCUGUAUUGCUCAUAUCAGGAGUUUCAAUUACUUGAGCCCAUCACAGUCUAAUAGAAAACAAGUAAUUCAAGCACUACUUAUCACAAUCAUAUUAGGUAUCUACUUCACCCUCCUACAAAUCUCAGAAUACUUUGAGGCCCACUUUAUUAUUUCUGACAGGGUCUAUGGCUCAACAUUUUUUAUAGUCACAGGCUUUCACGGAUUUCAUGUCAUCAUCGGAUCAACAUUCCUUACCACCUGCCUUAUCCGCCAAUUGCUAUGUCACUUCACAUCCAAUCACCACUUUGGCUUCGAAGCCACCACUUGAUACUGGCACUUUGUAGGUGUAGUAUGACUAUUCCUGUAUGUUUCUAUCUACUGAUGAGGAUCU